UGGUAGGCUCGUGGAUUUGGGAAGUCCCCCCCCCCUCUUGGGUGAUACCACGAAAAGGCGGGGGUGGUGUCGGAGUGAAUAUGGUUUGCUCCAAGGGAAGGUGGCGAGGACUAUUCCAUAGGGGCUCGCAGCGAGGUGGUGGUGGAUGAGAGGCCCCCCUCUCCGUGUUAUUCUCACAACAACCCUGUGAGGUGGGUGAGGCCAAGCAAGGAGGACUGGCCCAAAUUCACCCAGUGGGAGCUUCAUACCGAAUGGUAGAGUACAUGCUAUGCAAUGCAAAAUGUCCCAGGUUCAAUUCCUAGCAUUGCCUGGUAGGACUCGGUAAGACUCCUGAAAAUUAUCUUGAGAGCUAGUGUGGCAUAAUGGUUAGUGUUGGACAAUAACCAGGCUUUGGGUCUCCAUUCAGUCAUGAAGUUCACUGUGUCACCAUCUCUCAACCUAGCCUACCUUCCAGGGUCACUGUGAGGAUGAAAUGAGAACACUGAAUAGUAUCACCAAACAUAGCCCUGAUUGUGGGGAUUCUCCGUAGGGUGUCUGAAGUAGAAUAUAAACUUUUUUCUUUUCAGUUGUUCCCCCCACCCACCCAUUCACAGCUCACAGUAUGGGCAGAAAUCCAGUAGGGAAAGCUUUUUUCCAGUGGGCAGAUGCAGUGUGUCAAAAGGGAAGUAUGCCAGAUAAGGACUGUCCAAGGGGGAAAUGGGGCUGUACUUUUCUUCUAAUUAAGCAUCACAGAGGAGAUGCCUACUGAAGGCUAUGGACAGUGAUAGUUAAGUGGAACCUCCAUGGACAGGUGCAAGCUGAAUAUCAGUUAGCAGACAAGACAUAAUUCAUGCUUGUGAGUCUCCCUGGCUGUUAAGAUCUUAAGAAGAGCCUGGCUGCUGGAUCAGGCCAAAGGCCCACCUAGUCCAACAUCCUGUUCUCUCAUUGGACAACGAGAUGCCUAUGGGAAGCCUGCAAGAAGGACCUGAGUGCAACACUCUCCUUCCCCCACUUUUGAUUCCUAGCAAUUGGCAUUUAGGCAUGCUAUCUCUUGGCAGUGGAGGUAGAGCACAACCAUAAUGGCUGGUGGCUAUUGACAGGGAUGGGCUCUGGUUUACUAGGGCUCCUUUUAUACUAAACUUUUGCCUGUGCUAUGUCUGUUAAAAAAGCACUGUCAGCCUUUUUUUAAAGGAAGCUGAUGGCAGUAGCUGGAGACUAUAGAAGGCUGCAGUGGGGGUGGGGGCGUCUUUGGGUUAACAAUACUUAUCCAAUCAAGUUUCCGCUUCAAAUGACGGGUCUCCUCUUGGGGUGCACCAGUUAAAGUGUUGCAUGCUGCAGACUCAGGGUUUUUAACAGGAGGAGCUGCCUUGCCCCAAGUCAGGCUUUUCUAGCUCAACACUGACAUUGACUCUCCAGGGAAACCCUUGGGCAAGAUGCAGUGCAUGCGUCUCUCCUCAUCCCUGCAGCCACUCAUUCUGACCCCAAUCUUCACUGUUCCCCAGAGAGAAAGGGCAGGUGAGUGAAAAGAGGUUUCCCGGUGACAAGGGUGAGAAUUGCAGCAAUAGGCUCUGGUGAUCAGCAAAGGGGACCCUGUCAAGGUGCCUGAAAACGCCAACUCCAUACAUGUCCCUGCAUUAUCACUUUUUGCAGAGUGACUAGCAAGACAAGGCAAAGCUUUUCUCCGUGUUGGAAAGCUUCACCUGCCUAUAUUUUGGCUCAUCAGGCAGCUCUCUCCAUCUUAAAAAAGCAACUGACCAAGCAGACUUGUUUUAAAACUUUUUGCUUUUAAAAUUGUUUUAACUUUGGGACACUUUUAUUAUAUGGUUUUUAUAUUUUUAAUGUUGUGAACCAUUGCGGUAUAUUUUUUAUCAUUUGGUGGUAUAUAAGUAUUUUAAUAAAUAAGUAAA